UACGUAGGGUGCAAGCGUUGUCCGGAAUUAUUGGGCGUAAAGAGCUCGUAGGCGGUUUGUCGCGUCUGCUGUGAAAACUCGGGGCUUAACUCCGGGCCUGCAGUGGGUACGGGCAGACUAGAGUGCGGUAGGGGAGACUGGAAUUCCUGGUGUAGCGGUGAAAUGCGCAGAUAUCAGGAGGAACACCGGUGGCGAAGGCGGGUCUCUGGACAGUUCCUGACGCUGAGGCACGAAGGUCAGGGGAGCAAACGGGG
rnacentral:rRNA from 1 species